UAAAGUGGUGGGAUUACAAGCUUGAGCCACCGUGCCCAGCCCCCUUUUGUCUACUUACUCAUCCUCCAAAGUGCAGCUGAGGGGUCACCAGCUUCAGAAAGCUUUUCCCGACCCUCUCCCAACAGGCUAAAUGAGGUGCCCCUUCUUUUAGCUCCAUAGCACUCUGUGUUUCCUUUAUCAUAACACUUUGCUGUUACUGUUUUUACAGGCAUAUUUUGAAGACAUUGUGAGUUCAAUUCCAGACCACUGCAAUAAAGCAAAUAUGGCAAUACGGACCCUCUAUGAUGUGGUGGGUGUCCGAGAGUUUGAGGACCACUGAUCUGGACCGGAACUUGGUGGCCAGAGGACGCAGAGAGAGACUUUAAAAGGCGAUCCGCCAGCUGCCGUGUCCCCGCUCUGACCAGCCACUGGGCCAUGCAUCUGUCCUUCCGAAGCCAUGGAAGUCAAACCAGGGAAGCCUUCCCACAGCUUGCUGCUCCAAUCCAUGGCAGAUGGACAACCCCCAAGGGCAUUACAACCAUGGCACGAGGAUACCCUUGGUCCAGAGAUUCUAUCUGAACCUGCCUGUUGCCCCAUGGUGGCUUCUGGUGGACUUCUGGGCCUCCCCUGCACGUGGUGUGUGCUGUGACUCACUCCUCCUAAGGCCCUGCUGCGUGAAAGCUGAGGGACACCCAUCGGCAACUUUGAAGAGGCUCCUUCCGUGGAGACCCUCAUCUCUGCCCUGCCCCACAACACCGUCACUCGCCUCCUGUGGGCAGAGGCUCCCUGGAGGGUCUCCAUCAAUGAACCCACUGGGACCCCUUCUCUCUAAGUGUGUCACCUUGGGCAAUCAUCAUCAAAUAAGAGUC